rnacentral:sRNA from 12 species
AGAAGUAUGCAAUAAUAGCUUUUGGAGCGCUAUGGUAUUCCUCCCGAACAUCGGGAACUAAAGCUGUAGACAACCGUUCCAAGAGACGCUGCUUCU